CUGCGGAGGAUCAUUAAUAGUGCCCAUUGAUGCAAAUCAUUGGGUUAGAUCUGCCCUUAUCGCAAGAUGAGGGCUUCCAUAUACACCGUGAACUGUGGCUUCGGCCAUCACAAACUGUUAGUAAUGAAUGUAAUAUCAUAACAAAAACAAAACUUUUAACAACGGAUCUCUUGGCUCUCGCAUCGAUGAAGAACGCAGCGAAAUGCGAUAAGUAAUGUGAAUUGCAGAAUUCAGUGAAUCAUCGAAUCUUUGAACGCACCUUGCGCCCUUUGGUAUUCCGAAGGGCAUGCCUGUUUGAGUGUCAUGAAACCUCACCCCACUUAGGUUUUUGCCUAAGCGGUGGUGUAUUGGGUGUUUGCCUUGCUAAAGGCUCGCCUUAAAGAUAUAAGCACCUUGGAUGUAAUACGUUUCAUCCUUCUGGGUGGCUGAUAACCCCACAUAUUCAUG
rnacentral:misc_RNA from 1 species